rnacentral:lncRNA from 1 species
UAGCUGAACAUCACGGCCAGGAGAGAGUACGACAGUGAUUUCCUCGAGGUCGAGGAGCUGCGGGUGAAUCAGUCGGUCACCAAGUACCUGCUGCAGCCCUGGAGACACGGGACCAACUACUCGGUGACAAUCCAGGGCCUCACGGCUGCCGGCCUUGGGCAGGCGUCACGCUGGGACUUUGAAACCAACUUCUUUGACACAUGCAGGAGGCAGGGACCCUGGACCACGAAUGUGACCUUUCCCUCCGAGCUGACGGUGUUUUGGGUGAAUGACACGGUGCUGGUGACGUGCCCCGAGAAGCCUGAACCCGGCCCGUUCCCUGCAAACUGCACAGAGCUGAAGGACCGCGGGGCAGUCUGGGAUAUCAGUGGAGUCAAGUGUCUCAGGAUGUGCAAUGACUGGAUGAGGCACGUGGAUUUUGACCCUGCACAGACGGAGUUCGGUGUCGGCGCCAAGGGUCGGGUGACCUGUCGUCAGGAGUUCCAGCAGGACUCGUUCAGUGUGACGUGCAGAGAGAUGGAGUCGGGACGAUUCGAGUGGGAUUCGGGUGCACACACGUGUGUCAGAAAAUGUGAAAUACCCAGAACCUGGGACUCCAGAUUGCAGUUUGCCCCCAAGAGGCAGUUCUACUCCCCGGGUGAACUGGUGACACUGAGCUGCCCAGAGGGACAUCGGCCAUCACCACCUGUGAUAGUAUGUGCC